rnacentral:tRNA from 1 species
GUGGGAAUAGCUCAGUGGUAGAGUGCAUGGUUAAUAUGCACCAGGCCCUGGAUUCAAUUCCCAGUACCUCCA